CGCACGAGAACGUUUCAGCUUGCUGAAACUAGUAAAGUGGCGCACGGGUGAGUAACGCGUGGGUAAUCUACCUCCGAAUUGGGGAUAACAUUGCGAAAGCGAUGCUAAUACCGAAUGACAUCUCAAUAACUCCGGUCUUUGAGAUCAAAGGUGGCCUCUCCAUGGAAGCUACUGUUUGGAGAUGAGCCCGCGUACCAUUAGCUUGUUGGUAGGGUAAUGGCCUACCAAGGCAACGAUGGUUAGCUGGUCUGAGAGGAUGAUCAGCCACACUGGAACUGACACACGGUCCAGACUCCUACGGGAGGCAGCAGUGAGGAAUUUUGCGCAAUGGGGGAAACCCUGACGCAGCAACGCCGCGUGAGUGAUGAAGGCUUUCGGGUCGUAAAGCUCUGUCAAGUGAGAAGAACCUGCCUUUUGCUAAUAUCACUGGGCACUGACGGUAUCACUGAAGGAAGCACCGGCUAACUCCGUG
rnacentral:rRNA from 1 species